GCCUACGGGGCGCAGCAGUGGGGGAUAUUGCACAAUGGGGGGAACCCUGAUGCAGCGACGCCGCGUGGGUGAAGGAGUAUUUCGGUAUGUAAAGCCCUAUCGGCAGGGAAGAAGCAAGACGGUACCUGACUAAGAAGCCCCGGCUAACUACGUGCCAGCAGCCGCGGUAAUACGUAGGGGGCAAGCGUUAUCCGGAUUUACUGGGUGUAAAGGGAGCGUAGACGGAAAGGCAAGUCAGAAGUGAAAACCCAAGGCUCAACCACGGGACUGCUUUUGAAACUGUCAAACUAGAGUACGGGAG
rnacentral:rRNA from 1 species